CGCGGGCGCCGAGAGGAGAGGCGAGGCGGGGAGCGCAAGCGGCGGCGGCCACUGCCACGUAUUCCCGGCAGUGGUGGCGGCGGCGGCGGCGGCGCCCGCGGGCAGGAAUAACUCAAGUCACCUGUACUGGAAAUCAGUUUGCUGAAAUUAAUCAACGAUUCUUGAAGUUGAAGAAAAGGAGGUUCCAGCCUUGGCAAGAGGAGUGUGGCCCUUCCUGGAAUCCCUCUGGACACACCCUCCUAGCAUCCUCUAGGAAAGAUGCGGCAGCUCAAAGGGAAGCCCAAGAAGGAGACCUCCAAGGACAAGAAGGAGCGGAAGCAAGCCAUGCAGGAGGCCCGGCAGCAGAUCACUACAGUGGUGCUGCCCACGCUGGCCGUGGUCGUGCUCUUGAUCGUGGUGUUUGUGUACGUGGCCACGCGCCCCACCAUCACCGAGUGAGCCCCGCAGCCGGCUGCGGACCCCAUCGGCAGGGAGAGGAGGCGCGGGAGGGGGACGCAAACAAAAAAUGGCUUUCAUAUUCAGAGAUGUUCAUGUUGCUGAGCUGUAAGCAGGAGCACCCUGUCUUCUCUGGUCUUUGACUUGAUUAAAGUAUCUCCGCUUUCUUGGGAGGGAAUAGGGGAUGUUUUAUCAGUGAAUGUGCCAUACACCUUAUGGUCCACUUCAUGUGCCUUUCAGACUUCAAAGCGCGCGCGCAUGUGUGUGUGUGUGUGUGUGUGUGUGUGUGUGUGCUUCUUUUUCUCUCCUAAAAAUCGAUAAGUAGCUCCACCUGAAGAGGGAUGGAACCUCUGGGUCAGGAAACAGCUGGAAUCCACACUCACCUCAUUCCCAUUGUUUGGAUCAUGCUUCUUUCCAACACGUGUUCACAAUCUCCAAAGGGACUGUAUUUCUUCUCUGUGCUUAAUGUGAUUUGAAAUAUGUUGAAUCAAAGUGAAAUAUUUAUUUUUUGAAUAAAGGAGAUAAUAGCCUUAAA
rnacentral:lncRNA from 1 species